rnacentral:rRNA from 1 species
GAUGAACGCUGGCGGCGUGCUUAACACAUGCAAGUCGAACGAAGUGGCGAACGGGUGAGUAACGCGUAAUCAACCUGCCCUUCAGAGGGGGACAACAGUUGGAAACGACUGCUAAUACCGCAUACUGAAGGAGGGGAUUGCGGCGGAUUAGCUAGUUGGAGGGGUAACGGCCCACCAAGGUGAUGAUAAGUCGCCUGUUUGGGAAGAUGAACGGCCACAUUGGGACUGGGAACAGGCCCAGACUCCUACGGGGGGCAGCAGUGGGGAAACUUCCGAAAUGGAGGAAAGUCUGACGGAGCAACGCCGCGUGAGUGAUGACGGCCUUCGGGUUGUAAAGCUCUGUUAAUCGGGACGCGGUACCGGAAUAGAAAGCCACGGCUAACUACGUGCCAGCAGCCGCGGUAAUAC